CCACAUCUUUGCCAUCUCCUCCAGCUUCCGUCCAGUGGAGAGCACAGGCAUCUUCUCACUAGCACGUUGGCAUGAUGCCUGUUUUGCAAUUCCACAACCCAAGAGGGAAAGGAGUCAUCAUUUGAGGGAUGGUAGAUGGUCAGAAUGUCCCACACUCUAUCCAGGACAAACCUCAAAGCUCCCAGGGGCCUAGUUGUCAGAAUUUGUUCAGGAACCACACCCUUAAACCAAUCUUUAAGCAGGAGAGUAUAAUAUUUAACGGAACGGAUGUCUGGCAUUGAGAAACUGGGCUCUUCCAAAGACUGGCUACACUAUAAGUAAACAACACUUCCCCCUUCCCUUGGAGAACCACCUCUCCCCCACUCCAGACUGGUUUGCGGCAGCUCCCAGACACCACAUGGCUUCCCAACCCUCCGUUUCCUCAGCCACAGGAGAAACUCUCAACCCCAACCACAGUGAGGGGCUCAGGAAUGGUAUAGCCCAAGCCCUGCUCACCAGUGCUACAGUUGGGUACCUCUUCCUCAAGAAGCUUCAACUCAGAUGACAGCAACCUGGAACUGACUGUAGUCCUACCUGCGGCCCCACAGCCACAUGAAAGAGCUUCUCUGGGGCUGAAGGGUCUUGAUUCCUAGUUCCUUCUCCCUCUUUCCUCCUUCUCUUAUUCUUAUCCUUGGAGCUUUACUCUCAGUUCACUGAUAGCUAAUCUCCACGAGAUACUUAUUUUUAAGAUUGUAAAUUGCCCUAAUAGAAUCAUCGGUGGCCCACAUGAAAAGAAAUACAUCCAAAGGAACAUGAAAGCGUUAGAGAGAUCAGAAGCCAUGGAAAGUUGGGAAAUAAUCACAGGUGUAGAGAAUGCUCAAUCUCAAGAGAAGACCGUGCAAAACUUGAAUGUCACCUGAGAUGUUCAGGUCUGUCAUGUUCCACCAGGUUCAGAAAAAAAAAAAAACAUGAAAAAUACAAAAAGUUAGACAUUCUAACAAAGUUGAUGGAGAUUCUUAUGAGACUGAUUAACCUAAUGUGGAAAAUAGUUCCAUGAAAGAUAAGGAAUUUCCUGUUGAUGGAAGUAUUCAAGCAUAUGCCAAACAUUAGAAAUAUAAUAUAAAAAGCCUUAUUUGGGGGGAGAUUUUUAGGGUGUGGUAUAAGAAGAAAUCACCAGUCAUGGAUUCUAACGAAAUUCCCUGAAGAGUCAAACCAGUGUCUCUAAGAAUGGUACGAAGCUACACGAUGGACAAAUCCUUUAAUGCCCACCCUUCCUAUUAAGAGCAGAGAACCACAAUCUGCUCUACUCAUUAUUGAUGCCUAUGACGCCUAAAAUUCUACAUUGUGAUUGAAGCUUUGAUCACUACUGAAAGAGAGGGGUUGAAUCAGGGUGGGCCAGAAGAAAGGUCUCCUGACCUGAAUUGGAAUUAUGAACAUCUCUGUAGAAAAGCUUGGCAGGGCAGGAACGGCAUCUUUUCCUCUUAUCUCAGUGUUCUAGCUCAAAUCUCAGUGCCUCUUAACAAAUUUCCAUAUCAACCUCCUUAAUAGUUCCCUAGACUCUCACUUUCAGACCUAUCCUCCACAAUACAACCAGAAAGAGAGUGUUCUUUCAAAAACAAAGAUCUGAUCUUCUUAUCCACCACAGUGUAAAACCCUUCCAUGUCUCAUCAUUGACUUCAAAUCAAAGUCGAUGGUCUUUGGCCCCACCUAGAAAUUCCUCAAUAAAUUAACCCUAAUGUUCCAUCCUCAA